AGAGUUUGAUCCUGGCUCAGGAUGAACGCUAGCGACAGGCCUAACACAUGCAAGUCGAGGGGCAUCGAGGAUUAGCAAUAAUUUGUCGGCGACCGGCGCACGGGUGAGUAACACGUAUGCAACCUGGCUUCAACACUGGAAUAACCCGUUGAAAGACGGCCUAAUACCGGAUAAAACAGGGACCCCGCCUGGGGAUAUUUGUUAAAGAUUUAUCGGUUGAAGAUGGGCAUGCGUAUGAUUAGCUAGUUGGUGAGGUAACGGCUCACCAAGGCAGCGAUCAUUAGGGGUUCUGAGAGGAAGGUCCCCCACACUGGUACUGAGACACGGACCAGACUCCUACGGGAGGCAGCAGUGAGGAAUAUUGGUCAAUGGGCGCGAGCCUGAACCAGCCAAGUCGCGUGAAGGAAGACGGCCCUACGGGUUGUAAACUUCUUUUGCAAUGGAAUAAAAAGAGUUACGUGUAAUUCAUUGUAUGUACAUUGCGAAUAAGGAUCGGCUAAAUCGCGUGCCAGCAGCCGCGGUAA
rnacentral:rRNA from 1 species